GAGCGGCGAACGGGUGAGUAACACGUGGGUGAUCUGCCUCGCACUCUGGGAUAAGCCUGGGAAACUGGGUCUAAUACCGGAUAUGAACAUGGUCUGCAUGGACUGUGUUGGAAAGGUUUACUGGUGCGAGAUGGGCCCGCGGCCUAUCAGCUUGUUGGUGGGGUAACGGCCUACCAAGGCGACGACGGGUAGCCGACCUGAGAGGGUGACCGGCCACACUGGGACUGAGACACGGCCCAGACUCCUACGGGAGGCAGCAGUGGGGAAUAUUGCACAAUGGGCGAAAGCCUGAUGCAGCGACGCCGCGUGGGGGAUGACGGCCUUCGGGUUGUAAACCCCUUUCGACAGGGACGAAGCGCAAGUGACGGUACCUGUAGAAGAAGCACCGGCCAACUACGUGCCAGCAGCCGCGGUAAUACGUAGGGUGCGAGCGUUGUCCGGAAUUACUGGGCGUAAAGAGCUUGUAGGCGGUCUGUCACGUCGAUUGUGAAAACUUGGGGCUCAACUCCAAGCUUGCAGU
rnacentral:rRNA from 1 species